GAUGAACGCUGGCGGCGUGCCUAAUACAUGCAAGUCGAGCGAACGGACGAGAAGCUUGCUUCUCUGAUGUUAGCGGCGGACGGGUGAGUAACACGUGGAUAACCUACCUAUAAGACUGUGAUAACUUCGGGAAACCGGAGCUAAUACCGGAUGAUAUUUUGAACCGCAUGGUUCAAAAGUGAAAGACGGUCUUGCCGUCACUUAUAGAUGGAUCCGCGCUGCAUUAGCUAGUUGGUAAGGUAACGGCUUACCAAGGCAACGAUGCAUAGCCGACCUGAGAGGAUGAUCAGCCACACUGGAACUGAGACACGGUCCAGACUCCUACGGGAGGCAGCAGUGGGGAAUCUUCCACAAUGGGCGAAAGCCUGACGGAGCAACGCCGCGUGAGUGAAGAAGGUCUUCGGAUCGUAAAACUCUGUUAUUAGGGAAGAAAAGAUGUGUAAGUAACUGUGCACAUCUUGACGGUACCUAAUCAGAAAGCCACGGCUAACUACGUG
rnacentral:rRNA from 1 species